rnacentral:rRNA from 1 species
AGUGAACGCUGGCGGUAGGCCUAACACAUGCAAGUCGAACGGCAGCACAGUAAGAGCUUGCUCUUACGGGUGGCGAGUGGAGGACGGGUGAGGAAUAAAUCGGAAUAUACUUUUUAGUGGGGGAUAACGUAGGGAAAAUUAUGUUAAUACCGCAUAUGAUGUACGGGUGAAAGAAGGGGAGGUGCGGACCGGGCGCGAGGGAAGGAGCCGAGGUUGGAUGUGCUAGUUGGCGGGGGAAAGGCCCACCAAGGCGACGAUCCGUAGCUGGUCUGAGAGGAUGAUCAACCACACUUGAACUUACACACGCUCCAUACUCCUACGGUAUUCACCAGUGUAGACUAUUGGACACUGGGCGCAAGCCUGAUCCCGCCAUACCGCGUGGGUGACGACGGCCUUCGGGUUGUAAAGCCCUUUUGUUGGGAAAGCAAAGCCGCAGGUUAAUACCCCGCUGUUCUGACGGUACCCAAAGAAUAAGCACCGGCUAACUUCGUG